rnacentral:rRNA from 1 species
GAUUUCUGGAUGGCUGUGCUAGCCCGCUGGCUUUCGGGUCGGUGAGCGCCGGUACGAGUCAUUCAUCUUUGUAGGGAGCCUGGUCUGCCCUUUUUUGGGUGGGUCUGUGCGAACUACAUCAUUUACUUUGAAAAAAUUAGAGUGUUUAAAGCAGGCUUGCGCUAUGAAUACAUUAGCAUGGAAUAAUAAUUUAGGACUUUGGUCUUAUUUUGUUGGUUUCUAGGACUAAAGUAAUGAUUGAUAGGGACAGUUGGGGGUGCUAGUAUUCAGCGGCCAGAGGUGAAAUUCUUGGAUUCGCUGAAGACUAACUUAUGCGAAAGCAUU